rnacentral:rRNA from 1 species
UACAGAGGGGGCAAGCGUUGUUCGGAAUUACUGGGCGUAAAGGGCGCGUAGGCGGCCUGUUAAGUCGAACGUGAAAUCCCCGGGCUCAACCCGGGAACUGCGUCCGAUACUGGGGGGCUUGAAUCCGGGAGAGGGAUGUGGAAUUCCAGGUGUAGCGGUGAAAUGCGUAGAUAUCUGGAGGAACACCGGUGGCGAAGGCGGCAUCCUGGACCGGUAUUGACGCUGAGGCGCGAAAGCCAGGGGAGCAAACGGG